rnacentral:lncRNA from 1 species
GCCUACUACACGAAUAGCGUGCGCACAGUGUGUCGUGCCUGUUCGCGCACGAGGUGACGCGUAGAUGGCCUGCAUGCACACGAAAACACACGCGUAAGACCUAUCUUCGCGUCGUUCGCGUGGAUGGGACGUGCGCAUUGUGGGCACGUCCCAUGUGUGCGUGCUUGCGGAUGGGACAUUCGCAUUGUGUGCGAGUCCUGUGU